GAUGAACGCUGGCGGCGUGCCUAAUACAUGCAAGUCGAGCGAAUGGAUUAAGAGCUUGCUCUUAUGAAGUUAGCGGCGGACGGGUGAGUAACACGUGGGUAACCUGCCCAUAAGACUGGGAUAACUCCGGGAAACCGGGGCUAAUACCGGAUAAUAUUUUGAACUGCAUGGUUCAAAAUUGAAAGGCGGCUUCGGCUGUCACUUAUGGAUGGACCCGCGUCGCAUUAGCUAGUUGGUGAGGUAACGGCUCACCAAGGCAACGAUGCGUAGCCGACCUGGGAGGGAGAUCGGCCACACUGGGACGGAGACACGGCCCAGACUCCGACGGGAGGCAGCAGUAGGGAAUCUUCCGCAAUGGACGAAAGUCUGACGGAGCAACGCCGCGUGAGUGAUGAAGGCUUUCGGGUCGUAAAACUCUGUUGUUAGGGAAGAACAAGUGCUAGUUGAAUAAGCUGGCACCUUGACGGUACCUAACCAGAAAGCCACGGCUAACUACGUGCCAGCCGCCGCCGUAA
rnacentral:rRNA from 1 species